rnacentral:rRNA from 1 species
GGGCCCGCACAAGCGGUGGAGCAUGUGGUUUAAUUCGAUGAUACGCGAGGAACCUUACCAGGACUUAAAUGUAAGUUGCAUGAUUCAGAAAUGAAUCUUUCUUCGGACUACUUACAAGGUGCUGCAUGGUUGUCGUCAGCUCGUGCCGUGAGGUGUCAGGUUAAGUCCUAUAACGAGCGCAACCCCUAUCGUUAGUUGCCAGCAAGUAAAGUUGGGAACUCUAGCGAAACUGCCGGUGCAAACCGUGAGGAAGGUGGGGAUGACGUCAAAUCAUCACGGCCCUUACGUUCUGGGCUACACACGUGCUACAAUGGCCGGUACAGAAAGCAGCCACUUUGCGAAAAGGAGCUAAUCUUCAAAGCCGGUCUCAGUUCGGAUCGCAGUCUGCAACUCGACUGCGUGAAGCUGGAAUCGCUAGUAAUCGGAUAUC